rnacentral:rRNA from 1 species
GUGUCAGCCGCCGCGGUAAGACGAACCGUGCGAACGUUAUUCGGAAUCAUUGGGCUUAAAGAGCGCGUAGGCGGCGCUGCAAGUCGAAGGUGAAAUCCCACCGGCUCAACCGUGGAAUCGCCUGCGAAACUGCAGCACUUGAGGGAGCUAGGGGCAUGUGGAACUUCCGGUGGAGCGGUGAAAUGUGUUGAUAUCGGAGGGAACGCCAGUGGCGAAAGCGGCAUGCUGGAUCUCUACUGACGCUGAGGCGCGAAAGCUAGGGUAGCGAACGGGAUUAGAUACCCUUGUAGUCC